rnacentral:misc_RNA from 1 species
UUAAGUUCAGCGGGUAGUCCUGACUGAUUUGAGGUCUAAAGCUUAAAUGCUAUUAGAAGCGAAUUAGAAGCACCUCUUAUAUUUGAAGAAAACGUCCUUAGCGAAAUAAUUAUUACGCCAAGUCAAACCGUUUAUUUCAAUAGGGUUGCUCGUGUAUUUCAGUUGAGCCGGCAAUUACGCCGACAGACAACCAUAAUCCA